GCCUUUUCCUCUAUGUAUGUAUAUGUGUGUGUGUAUAUAUAUAUACAUAUAUGUGUAUGUAUAUAUGUAUGUAUAUAUAUAUACAUGUGUGUGUGUGUAUAUAUAUGUAUAUGUGUGUGUAUAUAUUUGUAUAUAUGUGUGUGUAUAUAUGUAUAUAUAUAUGUAUAUGUGCAUGGCUCAGAUCAAGGGUACCCUUUGCUGUCUUCAACUUGACUUGAGUAGUAUUUGAAACUGUUGUUCUAACAAUGUGUACUAUCCCUAUCACUCUGACGUUUAUAGAGUGAGGAAGCUUACCAAACCAUAAAUUAAGCCUGUUCAUGUUUUUAUUUUGCGCUAGCACGGCUAUGUUGUAAAAAAGUGUCUAUAUUUGGACAUUGAAAUGUUACAUGUCUACUUUUGUUGUGAAAUUAACAAUAUUUUCUCUGAUCAUUUUGUCAUGAUUUCUACUUAGAAUUAAAGAAUGAUGUCUGAAAUUGGUUUCUAAUGUGUUUUAUUCAAAUAUUCUCAGUGUAAAAAAAAAACUGUCGUGUAAUCAUUAGUGAAAAGUACAUAACCUUCGUGUCCGCCUGCCGAUGAAAAUUUUGAAGAACAUAAUUCCAUGGAAAAACAAACCCCAUGAUGAUUACAAUGGUAUAUAUUCAUGGAAUAAUUACUCAACUCUACAACUAAAGUGAUUUUUUUGUGUAUAAAAGAGUAAAAUAAGAUUAUUUGAACAAACGUCUAACACCUAAAUUUCGUGUUCGGCCCGUUAUGUACUACACUUUGAGCUCACAGCGUAAAUUGUGUAUUGCUAGUAAAUGAUGUAUUAGAAAAUAAAAAGUGCCUUCUUGGGCCAAACAAAUCUUGUGUCCUUCCGCCGGUUAUUCGCCAAAUACGCGUUCAGCAGGGGAAUGUUUCGCCGAGUCCGCCAUUUUGUGUUAGCGUAAUGUACGUUCAGUCACGACCUCGGCAGCAUCAAGCAGCAUCAUUCAAUUCGACGAGCAAUCGGCGGUUUAACAACCAUUGUCAAGUCUAAGACAUGCACAUCACCUGACAUGCUUAAUUGGUAGUACGCUUUCAGCCGACACAGCGUGGAGUAAGACAACAUGCGUCAGGAGGAGGAUGGGGUCAAAAUACUCAUUUGUGGAAUCAUUCUGCACUGCCUUGUAUGUGGGAAUGCAUAAAGAGAGUCAAAGCGGACAAACGUGCGUGCAGAAGAAACCAUCUUUUUGUCCCGUGAACUCGCUGACGCGGGCCCUCCAGGACCAUCUCAGCUGCGACACGGACGGCGCGGCCACAUGGUGCUCCUCCAGAAGCCCCAACGCCUGACGCCUCCCACAUCAUCAUCAUCAGGAGGAGACCCCUGAAGCGGGACAGGCUGGCUGCGCCGCUGCUUCAUCCCAUUGCCAACGCCACAAUGGCGAGGAGGCUGCCGUCGCUCAUUCGCGGACAGAUGGUGAGCUCCGCCGCCAUCUUCUAAGCCUGCUUGGCCUCCACAGGAGCGAAGACGUAGACGACAUGGAGGCUGCGGCGCAGGUUACCCGCGUCUCCCUGGGGAGGAAGGUGAAGGUGAGGAAACACAUCACCAGGAGGUACCAGGCGUCCCUCUCGGAGCAGUCGAGCCCUGGCGGCGCAUGCAGCUGCCCCCCCUCGCCCCGCAUGGACUCCUUGGAGAAACCCAGACUGAAGGCCGGAGGCUCUGUGGAAAGCCUGAGGAGCUCCCUCAGCGGCCAGAGCUCCACGAGUAAGCAUCUCAGCACUCAGCACAGCACAUCUCCUUCUCAAUACAGAUAAGACUAAAGAGAUGAUCAUCGACCCAAGAACAAGGGAAAAGGAGCCGCAUAGACCCCCGUUUAUUGAUGAGACUGAGGUGGAGAGGGUGAAAACCUUCAAGUUCCUUGGCACACACAUCAGCGAGGACCUCACCUGGUCUCACAACACCCAACAAAUUCUGAAGACGUCCCAAAGGAGACUGUACUUCCUGAGAAGACUGAGGAAAUUUGGCAUGUCCACCACAAUCCUGAGUUGCUUCUACAGAUGCACUAUGGAAAGUGUCCUUACCGCCUCCAUCACUGUUUGGUACGGUAACUGUACAACACGUGAUAGGAAGGCACUCCAGCGGGUGAUCAAGACCUCACAGAACAUUGUUGGGGCAGCCCUCCCCUCACUGCAAGACAUUUAUAAAACUAGAGUCCUACGAAGAACACACAACCUCAUCAAGGACAGCACACAUCCACAACACUCAUUAUUCACACUCCUACCGUCAGGCAGACGCUACAGGAGUUUGAAGUCCAGGACCACAAGGCUGGCAAACAGCUUUUACCCACAGGCCAUCAGGCUUCUCAACGAAGCACUCGCACACGCCGCACGCAACACACACUCAUAGCACUUUAUUUAUUUAUUGAUUGAUUGAUUUGUAUUAUUUUCUUGUAUUAAUGUCUCUUCUGUUGUUGUUGCUUAAUGUAUUGGUAUUUAUGUUUCUUAUGUUCUUAUUCUUUUUCUUGUGUUUUCUUUCUUUUCUUGGGAGAACUUACUGUGCAUAUGACAAUAAAACUCUUGAAUGUUGAACCUGUUAGAGUAGUCCGUGUGCAGCUUUUCUAGCAGUACAGCCACUGACAUUAUUGUUGAACUAUCUGGCAACACAAGUGGCAUUGGGGGCAGAGAACAUGACCUUUGUUCUUUUUUAUUACAUCAUGGAGCACAACAGGAUCCCCUCCGUUGUCGCAGCACACGUUGGAAUUCAUCUCUCCCACCCUCGGUGAACCAUUGUUCCCUAGUGCUGGCAGCACUCAUGCACACUACUGACACCACCAUGCAAGACACGAGUAUCUUGUGUUGCCAGCUGCACACUGGCUACUCUAAAGUAUUUUAUGUCUUAUUGUGCAGCCCGGGGGCCAUUUGUGGCCAGCGGCUGUUUUUUUUAUUGGCCUGUGAAAGAAAACUAAAAACAAAAACAAAAAAAUGGGAAAAUCACCUUAAAUGUUGUAAUUUUACAAGAAUAACAUCAAAUUAUGACAAAAAAGUAGGAGCAUAAAGUUCAAAUAUUCAAGGAAAAAUAUGUUAUUUUUUUACGUAUAUUUUAAAUCGUAUGUUAUGACAAAAACAAAAAAAUCAAGGUGUAAUUUUUGGGAAUUUAGGUUGUGAAAAAAGUUAUGAGGUGACAAGAAUAAUGUCGAAAUAUUACGGCAAUAAAGUCAAAGUAAAUUUACCAGAAGAAAGUUGAAAUAGUUUGUCAGUCAUAUUGGUACAUGUUUGUAUAUUUGUAUACACACCUUGUGAGUAUGAAGUUGCUGUGUGAUGAAUUUAGUGUUCUCUCCAUGUGUUGUGUAGCGGUACGUCAGCGUCGCCGCCAUAUUGGGCAAUCAGAGUGUUUUGGUUCCUAACUGUUUACCAAGUAUAUUAGUGCGUGUGUGAACCUAUACACGAGAGGAAUUAACUGGAGUUUCUUUGUAGAAAGGCGCUUUAUUCAAGUAAGUACAUUGACUUGUAUUCAUUUACUGUACAGCCUGGACACAUCCAAUUUGGCGGCAAGGUUGACGUAUGGCAGCAGUGGACAAACCCACUUGAUGCGGCGUCUGUCUGUGUCUAUGCUCUCACAUCCAAAGUUUCCUUGAAGACGGCGUCCUUGUCCUUGUCCUCCUCUGGAAGUGUCACCAUGCAGUGAUAUAUGUUCCCUUCCAAAAGUAAGUCCAAUAUGUUUUGGACUAAAUAAAGGUGAUUUUAUGCUUCCUUUUUUCAUAUCAUAUAGCCAGUAGCAGAGGUGCAGCCCCAUGCAAAGAAUUACGUUGCCCCCACCCUUUUAAGAAUUAAUUACGAAUUUAAUGAGUAAAUUCCUAUUUUUGGGGGUCCCUUGGCAGUCAAGGGACCUUGGAAUUGUCCUGACUUUUCCCCUUAUAUACAGCACCCCUGGCCAAUAGCACUCAUGAUACAUACAUUGAAACGUGUCGUUACUCCAUGUGAUCGGUAUCAGCUGAUAUCAGUCCUGCAUAGAUCUGUCACGAUAACAAAUUUCACUGGUCGAUAAUUGUGCUACAAAUUAUCAUCGCUAUUCGAUAUUAUCGGCAACAUUUUUCGAGACCAUUUUUGAAUGAAUGAUUGUCAUGAGAGGUGUAAUUCACAUUUGAACUGCUAGAUGGCACUGAAGCAUCAAGUACGGUGUACCUGUGUUUUAAAGGGGGGCCAUCACUUUUUCACACAGGGACAUGUAGCUUUGGAUGUUUUUAUCCCUUCAGAAUAAAAGGUUUCAUGUAAAAAGUGCAUCAAGUGUUGAGUUGUGUUGUCAUUGGCUAAUAUUUACAUUUGAUUGAUUGAGUUAAAAAAAAAAAAGAAAUCAGGAAGGGGGCCAACACUUUUCCACACCCCUGCAUAUGUACCACGGUUAAAAACAAGCCCACAAGUUUUAUGUUGAUGUCUUUAUACUUCACUCCACAUAAAGUAUUUUUCCUUACGUCUUGAGAUUUCAUAUGCUGUUUGGUAAUCCUUGAAUGCACCAUAGUU